UCUUUAACUACUGGAAACGGUAGCUAAUACCGCAUAACGUCGCAAGACCAAAGAGGGGGACCUUCGGGCCUCUUUCCAUCGUAUGUGCCCAGAUGGGAUUAGCUAGUAGGUGGGGUAACGGCUCACCUAGGCGACGAUCCCUGGCUGGUCUGAGAGGAUGACCAGCCACACUGGAACUGAGACACGGUCCAGACUCCUACGGGAGGCAGCAGUGGGGAAUAUUGCACAAUGGGCGCAAGCCUGAUGCAACCAUGCCGCGUGUAUGAAGAAGGCCUUCGGGUUGUAAAGUACUUUCAGCGGGGAGGAAGGGAGUAAAGUUAAUACCUUUGCUCGUUGACAUUACCCGCAGAAG
rnacentral:rRNA from 1 species